GUUAAGAGCUGCUGUGUGCAUCAUGCCAUCCAGAACUGAAGCCCGGAAAAUGCCUCUACAAAUUAUAAUGUGUUUAUAAUGUAACGCUAUAGCCUAUAAUAAUGAAACAACAGCAGAUAUCAGCUCCCGCUAAAGCAAAAGACGACUACAUGCGUAGGCUACUGCGCAGGUGUAGAGCGCGCGGCCGUCUGCAGGAGGUUUGCUGGAACGCGAUCCUGAGGUGAAAUUUCUUUAAGAGGUUUUUCUACACUGUGGAGUACGGCUGCGAGUGAUGUCAGCAGGAUCCGCAUGCUGGAUAAGAACAGCAUCUGUGAGACGACAUCAACUCAACAUCCGAGUGGACAAGAACACCAACAGAGGAAGCCAAGCCGCAAAAACAACGAAAAAUUUUCAUGACUUUUUAUUUUAAAUAAAAGUUAUGUGAUAAUAAACAUUAAGUGUUGGCUUAA